rnacentral:rRNA from 1 species
UACGGAGGGUGCAAGCGUUAAUCGGAAUUACUGGGCGUAAAGCGCACGCAGGCGGUUGGAUAAGUUAGAGGUGAAAGCCCCGGGCUCAACCCUGGAAAUGCAAUUAAAACGGUCCAACUAGAAUCGUGUAGAGGGGGGUAGAAUUCCAGGUGUAGCGGUGGAAUGCGUAGAGAUCCGGAAGAACACCGGUGGCGAAGGCGGCCCCCUGGACAAAGGCUGACGCUGAGGUGCGAAAGCGUGGGGAGCAAACAGG